GCCAAAAUAGCUCAGUUGGAAGAGCGUUAGACUGAAGAUCUUAAGGUCCCUGGUUCGAUCCCGGGUUUCGGCA
rnacentral:tRNA from 1 species